rnacentral:rRNA from 1 species
GAGGUUAAGUGACUAAGCGUACACGGUGGAUGCCUAGGCAGUCAGAGGCGAUGAAGGACGUGCUAAUCUGCGAAAAGCGUCGGUAAGCUGAUAUGAAGCGUUAUUAGCCGGCGAUGUCCGAAUGGGGAAACCCAGUGCAAUUCGUUGCACUAUCAUUGCGUGAAUCCAUAGCGCAAUGAGGCGAACCGGGGGAACUGAAACAUCUCAGUACCCCGAGGAAAAGAAAUCAACCGAGAUUCCCCCAGUAGCGGCGAGCGAACGGGGAACAGCCCAGAACCACCAUCAGCUUUUGCAUCAGGAGAACGGUCUGGAAAGUCCGGCGACAGAGGGUGAUAGCCCCGUAUCCGAAGGUGCAGAGGUUGUGGGUUCGAUGAGUAGGGCGGGACACGUGAUAUCCUGUCUGAAGAUGGGGGGACCAUCCUCCAAGGCUAAAUACUCCUGACUGACCGAUAGUGAACCAGUACCGUGAGGGAAAGGCGAAAAGAACCCCGGCGAGGGGAGUGAAACAGAACCUGAAACCGUGUACGUACAAGCAGUGGGAGCCUUGAGAAAUCGGGGUGACUGCGUACCUUUUGUAUAAUGGGUCAGCGACUUAUAUUCUGUAGCAAGGUUAACCGCAUAGGGGAGCCGUAGGGAAACCGAGUCUUAACUGGGCGCACAGUUGCAGGGUAUAGACCCGAAACCCGGUGAUCUAGCCAUGGGCAGGUUGAAGGUUGGGUAACACUAACUGGAGGACCGAACCGACUAAUGUUGAAAAAUUAGCGGAUGACUUGUGGCUGGGGGUGAAAGGCCAAUCAAACCGGGAGAUAGCUGGUUCUCCCCGAAAGCUAUUUAGGUAGCGCCUCGUGAAUUCAUCUUCGGGGGUAGAGCACUGUUUCGGCUAGGGGUCCACCCCGGAUUACCAACCCGAUGCAAACUGCGAAUACCGAAGAAUGUUAUCACGGGAGACACACGGCGGGUGCUAACGUCCGUCGUGAAGAGGGAAACAACCCAGACCGCCGGCUAAGGUCCCAAAGUCAUGGUUAAGUGGGAAACGAUGUGGGAAGGCAUAGACAGCCAGGAUGUUGGCUUAGAAGCAGCCAUCAUUUAAAGAAAGCGUAAUAGCUCACUGGUCGAGUCGGCCUGCGCGGAAGAUGUAACGGGGCUAAACCAUGCACCGAAGCCGCGGCAGCGAUACCUUCGGGUAUUGUUGGGUAGGGGAGCGUUCUGUAAGCCUGAGAAGGUGGCCUGUGAGGGUUGCUGGAGGUAUCAGAAGUGCGAAUGCUGACAUAAGUAACGAUAAAGCGGGUGAAAAGCCCGCUCGCCGGAAGACCAAGGGUUCCUGUUCAACGUUAAUCGGAGCAGGGUGAGUCGACCCCUAAGGCGAGGCCGAAAGGCGUAGUCGAUGGGAAACAGGUUAAUAUUCCUGUACUGGGUGUGACUGCGAAGGGGGGACGGAGAAAGCUAGACCGGCCGGGCGACGGUUGUCCCGGUUCAAGCGUGCAGGUGGAGAGGACAGGAAAAUCCGUUCUCUUAUCAACACUGAGGCGUGAUGACGAGCCACCACGGUGGUGAAGGGGUUGAUGCUACGCUUCCAGGAAAAGCCUCUAAGCACCAGGUCACAUCGAAUCGUACCCCAAACCGACACAGGUGGUCAGGUAGAGAAUACCGAGGCGCUUGAGAGAACUCGGGUGAAGGAACUAGGCAAAAUGGUGCCGUAACUUCGGGAGAAGGCACGCUGGCAUUAGGUGGAGGAACUUGCUUCCCGAGCCGAAGCCAGUCGCAGAUACCAGCUGGCUGCAACUGUUUAUUAAAAACACAGCACUGUGCAAACACGAAAGUGGACGUAUACGGUGUGACGCCUGCCCGGUGCCGGAAGGUUAAUUGAUGGGGUUAUCCGCAAGGAGAAGCUCUUGAUCGAAGCCCCGGUAAACGGCGGCCGUAACUAUAACGGUCCUAAGGUAGCGAAAUUCCUUGUCGGGUAAGUUCCGACCUGCACGAAUGGCGUAAUGAUGGCCAGGCUGUCUCCACCCGAGACUCAGUGAAAUUGAACUCGCUGUGAAGAUGCAGUGUACCCGCGGCAAGACGGAAAGACCCCGUGAACCUUUACUAUAGCUUGACACUGAACAUUGAGCCUUGAUGUGUAGGAUAGGUGGGAGGCUUUGAAGUAGGGACGCCAGUCCUUAUGGAGCCAACCUUGAAAUACCACCCUUUAAUGUUUGAUGUUCUAACUCCGGCCCGUAAUCCGGGUCGAGGACAGUGUCUGGUGGGUAGUUUGACUGGGGCGGUCUCCUCCUAAAGAGUAACGGAGGAGCACGAAGGUUAGCUAAUCACGGUCGGACAUCGUGAGGUUAGUGCAAAGGCAUAAGCUAGCUUGACUGCGAGAGUGACGGCUCGAGCAGGUGCGAAAGCAGGUCUUAGUGAUCCGGUGGUUCUGAAUGGAAGGGCCAUCGCUCAACGGAUAAAAGGUACUCCGGGGAUAACAGGCUGAUACCGCCCAAGAGUUCAUAUCGACGGCGGUGUUUGGCACCUCGAUGUCGGCUCAUCACAUCCUGGGGCUGAAGUAGGUCCCAAGGGUAUGGCUGUUCGCCAUUUAAAGUGGUACGCGAGCUGGGUUUAGAACGUCGUGAGACAGUUCGGUCCCUAUCUGCCGUGGGCGUUGGAAGAUUGAGAGGGGCUGCUCCUAGUACGAGAGGACCGGAGUGGACGCACCACUGGUGUUCGGGUUGUCAUGCCAAUGGCAUUGCCCGGUAGCUACGUGCGGAAGAGAUAACCGCUGAAAGCAUCUAAGCGGGAAACUUGCCUCGAGAUGAGUCUUCCCUGUGGCUUUAAGCCACCUGAAGGGACGUUAAAGACGAUGACGUUGAUAGGUCGGGUGUGUAAGCGCAGCGAUGCGUUGAGCUAACCGAUACUAAUGACCCGUGAGACUUAACCUUA